rnacentral:rRNA from 1 species
UACGUAGGUGGCGAGCGUUGUCCGGAUUUACUGGGCGUAAAGAGCGCGCAGGCGGUCGUUCAAGGCGCGUGUGAAAGCCCCCGGCUCAACUGGGGAGGGUCACGCGAUACUGAUCGACUCGAAGGCAGGAGAGGGAAGUGGAAUUUCCGGUGUAGUGGUGAAAUGCGUAGAUAUCGGGAGGAACACCAGUGGCGAAAGCGACUUCCUGGACCAGUACCGACGUUCAGGCACGAAAGCGUGGGGAGCAAACAGG